UUUUUUUUUUGUAGUACAACUAUGAAUAUUGUGUAAAUUUAAAUAUUUUAAGAUUUAUAAUAUAAUUUUGUUAGACUUUUACUAUUACUAUUUUUGUGUCAAGCACGGAGGACAAAUUCAGUAUCAUAUAAAACAUCACCAACAAAAUCAAAAUUGUAAAUUGAAGAUUACUAAGCUGUGUAACUGUGUUGUGGUUUUUUCUAAAAGAAUUAUAAUCGGAAAGCUUCUCUAUUUGUCCAAGGCUACGAACUUAUGUACUCUACUCUCACACAAAGAGGACUUGAUCAUCAUGCAUAUUAUGGUAAUAAAUAAUAAUUCAAUAAUAUAAAGAAAUCGAAGUAUAUAUCGCUUAAAUAAAGUGGUAAGCACAAUCCAACAUAAAAACUCUAAUUAUUAGUUAACGAAUGAAUCAGAAUACGACACUGGUAAGGUGAUUUUAAUUAGAACAAACUUUGGUAUAUGCAUUUCUCCCAAUCCUGUAAGAUGUAUAAUAAUUUGAUUAGAUUGUGACAAACUGACAAUAAAAGACUAUAGGAGAUUUUGAUUUUAAUAUGAAUAUAUGGAUAAUUAAGUUAAAAAAAAAGAAAGAAAGAUAAGUUUGACGUAAUUUGGUGAUCUGAAAUGAGAUGAGAAGAACCACAUAAAAGCACAGAGCCAGCUUAAAUCUAGAACACAGAUUUGAUGAGAUCCAUGCAAAACAACAACUGCUUUUAACCGAAAUAACUGCCCUUGAUGAUGUAUAAAUAAAUGUGUGAAUUAGAAAUGAACAUCAAGGCCGGCCUCUGCAGAAACGAAGAGAGAAGAGAUCGUGAUUUUAUCAUUCUCUCUGGGCGGCUCCAUUCGGCCGUCUUCCUUCGCCUACCGCAGAGGAAUCGGAGCUGAGAAGCUUCAAAAAAAUAAAAGAGAGAUCGAGGAAAAAUGGAGAUCAUCAGCAAAGCUUUGGUAGUUAUAAUGGUGAUGCUCACCGUUGCCACCGCCACUGCUCAACCACCGGCGCCUUUACCCACCAACGAUGGAACAACGAUAGAUCAAGGUGUCGCAUACGUUCUAAUGCUCCUCGCUUUGGUGCUCACUUAUAUAAUUCAUUAGAUUUCCAAAUCUAGUGAAUUUAUUUACCACAAAGUACACACACACACACACACACAUAUAUAUAUAUAUAUAUAUAUAUAUAUAUAUAUAUAUAUAUAUAUAUAUUAUCAAAUUGAUGAUCAAGAAGAUGAAGAAAUCAAAGUAGAGGACGCAGUACUUCUAGCUAGUGGUCCAUUUGUUGUGUUUAUUCCUAAUGAAGAGGAAGAAUAACACUUGGAAAUAAGUAUAUGUUUUAUUCUCUUUAUUAUGGGAUGAUUUAUCCACGUUUUAGUUUUUCAUUUUUUCUCGUAUACUCUUCUAGUUGUUAAGAGUUCGUACGUUAGAUCGUGAGUACUUUCACGUUGUAAUGUAGUUCAUCUUAGUAGUAUCAAUUAUUUGUAUUGUAGAAUAGCAAAAUCGAUUCGUCGGAUAGUCAAGUUUGUUUAUUCUUGACUAUCAAUUAGAUAUAUAGAAAUUGUAUCCAACUUUGGAUUUUGAGAUUGUAGCUAGUGUUAUAGUUUGGAUAA